GGAGCCGGGAAGGCCUGGGGGUGCCCUCAGGGCCCUGACAAAAGGUUAAAUAAACAAAGUUAAAAAAAAGCAAAAGCCACGGCCAACAUGCCCUAAAUAUGCGGUAAAAUAUUCACGGAACUUACAGUAGAAGGGCUGAAGAGAAUACUGAGGCCAAAGGACAUCAUCAUGCUGUGCAAUUUAGCCAAAGGUGUUAUCAUGAACCUGCUGAAUUUACAUGUGUUUUGUUUACACUGCAGAAGAGGCAUAAUUUACCAACCAGACUGAAGGAAUUAAGGCAGCAUCCUGAAUAACAUCAUUCUUACCAUCAAACAUCAGUAUCAAAGCAGGGCAUUUGAAGACAUAAAAGCAGAAGGCAAUGACAUUAUCCUUGAAUCUUCAUGACUUUCCUAAAGGUGACUGUAUUGAAUAAGAACUGCUGAAAUGUUGUUGGCACUGUUUUAUACAUCCCAUCUGUUAGUCAUAAUAUUGCAUCAGCUAAUUAAUGCAUGUUACCUUGUGUAUAAAACAACAUGUACUCUGUUGAUUGCAGAGUCAACCCUAAAGUGUUUUUUGCUGGAGCUGGUUGGAAUUUUUUGUCAGAAAGGGUUUUUUUUCUCCAUGAAAAAUGCCAUUUUUAUUUAAAUCUCCCACAUUUGAAAAUAUAUAUAUUUUAUGGAAAUUCCUGCAAAAAACAUUUAUUUCAAAAUCAUGCAUUUUGCACUUUCUAGAAUGCUUUGUCUUAAAAAGUUUAAGAACUUUAUAAUGCUGCUUUAGCUUUUUUUUGUGCAGUACAUUUGAUCUAGCUGGUGGUGUGCUGCCACUGUCAUGUCAUAGUAUCAAUUGUCAAAAAUUGUAUUAUGACAUGACAGUAGCUAUGGUGCACAACUAAUUAAAUCUAAUAAAGUGUGUCACUUUUAGGUUUUUUAAAUCUUGAAGGGCAGCUGCUACUUAGUAGUGAAAAAAAUUUUUAGACUAAAAAGCCUACUCUUUGCAGUGAAACAGUUGAAUCAGUACUAAGCUCCUCUAAUUAUCUUGGAAUAAGUUUUUAGGUGAAUAUCACAUGUCAGUUGUCAUAAUUAAGAAAAGUCUAUUUGAUUCCUGAGACAGCAAGAUCGUUCAUCACUAGUGUAAAAUUAUAGUUACAACAGAUGUGUUGCUUAGAUCAAAUAUCAUUUCCUUUUGCAGAAAGGAAUAGAAGCAUGAGGAAAAACAGAUAAAAAAUAAAGUUCUUCUGUUAUGUCUUUCCUUUCUGGGUAACUAUUGGCUUCUAUAGUACUUCAGAUUUUUCUGACAGUCAGUUUUCUAGACACUAAAACACCGUAUAACUACAGCUAUAUCUCUUUGUCAGGCCAUUUACUUCAUCUUUCUUCUUGUACAGAUAUAGUAUAUGAAAUAGCCAUUGAGUCAUUGAAAUAGUCAUUUCUUAUAUGAAACUGUUGUUUAUAUGUAAAUAAAUAUGUUUUUAUAUAU